UACGUAGGGGGCUAGCGUUGUCCGGAAUCAUUGGGCGUAAAGAGCGCGUAGGCGGCUAGAUAAGUCCGGUGUGAAAGUCACAGGCUCAACCUGUGAAUGCCGCUGGAAACUGUCUGGCUAGAGUCCGGAAGGGGCGAGUGGAAUUCCUGGUGUAGCGGUGAAAUGCGCAGAUAUCAGGAGGAACACCAAUGGCGAAGGCAGCUCGCUGGGACGUGACUGACGCUGAGACGCGAAAGCGUGGGGAACAAACAGG
rnacentral:rRNA from 1 species